AACGAACGCUGGCGGCAGGCCUAACACAUGCAAGUCGAACGACAUAGUGGCAGACGGGUGAGUAACGCGUGGGAACGUACCCCAAGGUACGGAAUAGCUCCUCGAAAGGGGUGGUAAUACCGUAUGUGACCGUAAGGUGAAAGAUUUAUCGCCUUGGGAUCGGCCCGCGUUGGAUUAGCUUGUUGGUGAGGUAACGGCUCACCAAGGCGACGAUCCAUAGCUGGUUUGAGAGAAUGACCAGCCACACUGGGACUGAGACACGGCCCAGACUCCUACGGGAGGCAGCAGUGGGGAAUCUUGCACAAUGGGCGAAAGCCUGAUGCAGCCAUGCCGCGUGAAUGAUGAAGGCCUUAGGGUUGUAAAAUUCUUUCACCAGGGAAGAUAAUGACUGUACCUGGAGAAGAAGCCCCGGCUAACUUCGUGCCAGCAGCCGCGGUAA
rnacentral:rRNA from 1 species